UACGUAGGGUGCAAGCGUUGUCCGGAAUUAUUGGGCGUAAAGAGCUCGUAGGCGGUCUGUUGCGUCGGCUGUGAAAACCCGGGGCUCAACCCCGGGCCUGCAGCCGAUACGAGCAAACUAGAGUGUUGCAGGGGAGACUGGAAUUCCUGGUGUAGCGGUGAAAUGCGCAGAUAUCAGGAGGAACACCGGUGGCGAAGGCGGGUCUCUGGGCAACAACUGACGCUGAGGAGCGAAAGCGUGGGGAGCGAACAGG
rnacentral:rRNA from 1 species